AUGUCACGCGGCGGAGACUGGGACGGCUCCAACGUCCACGAGGACCACAUCGACUUCCUUCGCAAGAUGCGGCGGUUGCCCGGCAAGGAUCAUGUGCGGUUCCGUCUUGUGCCGGAGAGGGAGAUCUCGUCGGCGCCGGAGGAGGGCGAGCGGGUAAUCUUUCGCUCGCAUUGCCUGCGCGGCCUCGGCCUGCCUGCGAGCGGCUUCUUCCGUUCCUUCCUCGAGUUCUACCAGCUCCAGCCGCACCACCUCACUCCAAACACGGUGGUCCUGCUGUCUGCCUUCGUCACUUUGUGCGAGGGCUUCCUCGGCGUCCUUCCCACCCUCGAGCUCUGGGGGGAAUUCUUCCAGUCCAAGCUCGGUACCGCCAUGAGGGGCGUGCCGGCUCAGAGCGACGCCUUCAUCGCGAUGCGGAGGCCGGUAGCCGACAACCCUUUUCCUCCCAUCACGCUGAUCCAGUCGGUGAAGCUCUGGCAGCAAUCCUACUUCUAUGUGAAGAACGUCGCUCCGCAAGGCGACUUCGUCAACUUGCCGUCUUAUGUAGCUGGCCCGCCGGCUGGGAGGCGGCCCCAAUGGUCCUAUCGGGCCAAAACACUGUCGCCUGCUGGAGCCGCCGCCGUCACGCGACUCCGGGUAUUGGUCCAGUCGGAGGGCCUGACCGGGCCCGACCUGCUGGCCGCCUUCGUGGCGUGCCGGGUGCUCCCGCUCCAAGGCCGCCCUCAUAUGAUUUGUCAAAUGAGCGGCCAACUCGAUCCGAGUCGGCUGUGUACCAAGGAGAUGCCUCAUGCAGAGGUAGCUCACAUGGUGAACUACCUUGCGAACUGCAAGCUCAUCGACGAGUUGCAGUUUGGCAAGGAGCCGUACUCUCGUGCCAAUCCCCCGCCUAUGGUAAGCUUUCUUUUUCUUCUCUUCUUUACUUUUGUCACCAAGUUUCUCUUGGCCGACUCUGACCAGUCGGUUUGUCUUGAUAGAGCCCCCCUCCUUCGACUGGCAGCCGGGGCAGCGGGGGUGGAGCGCCAAUAUCCCCCCGACCGGACGACGCACGACUUGGACGACGACACCGUGGGGGGAGGCGGCGAGGUACGCGGCUCCGGGCUUGGAGCCAGCUUCGACGACUGGCCGUAUGAUGACGAGGCGGAAGUCGUCCCGUGCCGCCAGCCGGCGUCCGAUCAUCAUGGCGCGGGCUCAUCUGCCGCGCCGGCUGUCAGAGGCGGUGCGCAGAAGCGCCGGGCCGCGCCGAGCCUAUUCGGCAGUCGGCCGAAGAAGCCCAAGAGCGCGGCGGCGGCGACCAAGCGGGACGAGGCAGCCGCGAAGGCUGCCCGCUUCCGCAAGGUGGUGAAGCAGCCGCAAAUGGUUUCGGCGUAA
rnacentral:rRNA from 1 species